CGCGUAGGCGGUCCUUUAAGUCAGAUGUGAAAGCCCGGGGCUCAACCCCGGAAGUGCAUUUGAAACUAAGGGACUUGAGUAUGGGAGAGGGAAGUGGAAUUCCUGGUGUAGCGGUGAAAUGCGUAGAUAUCAGGAGGAACACCGGUGGCGAAGGCGACUUCCUGGACCAAUACUGACGCUCAGGCGCGAAGGCGUGGGGAGCAAACA
rnacentral:rRNA from 1 species